rnacentral:lncRNA from 1 species
GAAUUUGUUCUUUAUUUACAAUGAUAUUUAAUCUGCAUCGAACACUUAAGUUUGAGUCGGUCCAACAUUACAGAAUAAAACAGGGACGAAAGAUACCAGAGGGACAGUCAAACUCAUAAAUUGAAAAUAAACUGACAACGCCAUGGCUAAAAAUGAAAAAAAGACAAACAAACAAUAGUACACAUGACACAACAUAGAAAACUAAGGAAUAAGCAACACGAACACCACCAAAAACUAAGGGUGAUCUCAUGUGCUCCGGCAGGGUAAGAGCAGAUCCUGCUCCACAUGUGGCACCCGUCGUGUUGCUUAUGUGAUAACAAAUUCGGUAAAUAGUUUCAUUCGGUAGGUC